rnacentral:sRNA from 1 species
AGCCAUUUUAGCCAAAGGGUUCAUGUGGACCCUUUGGCUAAAAGUAAGGUUCAUAUGGACCAUUUGGCUAAAAUUAAGGUCCAUGUGGACCCUUUGGCUAAAGUUAAGGUUCAUGUGAACCCUUUGGCUAAAAUGGC